rnacentral:rRNA from 1 species
GCGCCUGAUUAGAUAGUUGGCGGGGUAAUGGCCCACCAAGUCUACGAUCAGUAGCCGGACUGAGAGGUCGAACGGCCACAUUGGGACUGAGAUACGGCCCAGACUCCUACGGGAGGCAGCAGUGGGGGAUAUUGCACAAUGGGCGAAAGCCUGAUGCAGCGACGCCGCGUGAGGGAAGACGGUUUUCGGAUUGUAAACCUCUGUCUUCGGGGACGAAACAAGACGGUACCCGAGGAGGAAGCCACGGCUAACUACGUGCCAGCAGCCGCGGUAAUACGUAGGUGGCGAGCGUUGUCCGGAAUUACUGGGUGUAAAGGGAGUGUAGGCGGGGCUUCAAGUCCGUUGUGAAACCGAUCGGCUCAACUGAUCGUUGCGGCGGAAACUGGAGCUCUUGAGUGAGGUAGAGGCAGGCGGAAUUCCCAGUGUAGCGGUGAAAUGCGUAGAUAUUGGGAGGAACACCAGUGGCGAAGGCGGCUCUCUGGGCCUUAACUGACGCUGAGGCUCGAAAGUGUGGGGAGCAAACAGGAUUAGAUACCCUGGUAGUCCACACUGUAAACGAUGAUUACUAGGUGUGGGGGGACUGACCCCUUCCGUGCCGGAGUGAACACAAUAA